rnacentral:pre_miRNA from 1 species
CUACUACUCCCUCCGUCCGAAAAUACUUGUCAUUGAAAUGGAUGUAUCUAGAUGUAUUUUAGUUCUAGACACAUCCAUUUUGAUGACAAGUAAUUCCGGAUGGAGAGAGUAUUAU